GUGAAAAUUAAGAAGAGUGUAAACAAUUUUGCAUGUAAACAAUGUGGUGUGAAAAUUAAGAAGAGUAACAAUGUGAAGUGUAAACAAUGAGGUGUGUAACUGAUGUGGUGU